rnacentral:rRNA from 1 species
GUUGUAUGGUUAAGUGACUAAGCGUACACGGUGGAUGCCUAGGCAAUCAGAGGCGAAGAAGGACGUGCUAAUCUGCGAAAAGCUUGGAUGAGUUGAUAAGAAGCGUUUAAUCCAAGAUAUCCGAAUGGGGAAACCCAGUAGAUGAAGAAUCUACUAUCAAUAGAUGAAUACAUAGUCUGUUGAGGCAAACCGGGAGAACUGAAACAUCUAAGUACCCCGAGGAAAAGAAAUCAACCGAGAUUUUGUCAGUAGCGGCGAGCGAAAGCGAAAGAGCCAGCAAGUGAUAGCAGCAAAGACAGAAGAAUUGGCUGGAAAGCCAAGCGACACAGGGUGAUAGCCCCGUAUUUUAAGUUUAUGUUGUGGUACUAAACUUGCAACAAGUAGGGCGGGACACGAGAAAUCCUGUUUGAAGAUGGGGGGACCAUCCUCCAAGGCUAAAUACUCCUGAUUGACCGAUAGUGAACCAGUACUGUGAAGGAAAGGCGAAAAGAACCCCAGUGAGGGGAGUGAAAUAGAACCUGAAACCGUGUACGUACAAGCAGUGGGAGCCCUUUUGGGUGACUGCGUACCUUUUGUAUAAUGGGUCAGCGACUUAUAUUUUGUAGCGAGGUUAACUGAAUAAGGGAGCCGAAGGGAAACCGAGUCUUAACUGGGCGGUGAGUUGCAAGGUAUAGACCCGAAACCCGGUGAUCUAGCCAUGGGCAGGUUGAAGGUUGGGUAACACUAACUGGAGGACCGAACCGACUAAUGUUGAAAAAUUAGCGGAUGACUUGUGGCUGGGGGUGAAAGGCCAAUCAAACCGGGAGAUAGCUGGUUCUCCCCGAAAUCUAUUUAGGUAGAGCCUUAUGUGAAUACCUUCGGGGGUAGAGCACUGUUUCGGCUAGGGGUCCAUCCCGGAUUACCAACCCGAUGCAAACUGCGAAUACCGAAGAGUAAUGCAUAGGAGACACACAGUGGGUGCUAACGUCCAUCGUGGAGAGGGAAACAACCCAGACCGCCAGCUAAGGUCCCAAAGUCUAUAUUAAGUGGGAAACGAAGUGGGAAGGCUUAGACAGCUAGGAUGUUGGCUUAGAAGCAGCCACCAUUUAAAGAAAGCGUAAUAGCUCACUAGUCGAGUCGGCCUGCGCGGAAGAUGUAACGGGGCUAAAAUAUAGCACCGAAGCUGCGGCAUCAGGCGUAUCACAAAUACGCCUUCGAUUAACAACAUCGAAUGAAGUGAAACGGAAUAAGAUGUUGGUCAAGCACCCAACACGUUGAGUUGGCAUAAAGUGCGGAUAGAAAUCAGAGGAAUAUUUGUGAUACGCCUGUUGGGUAGGGGAGCGUUGUGUAAGCGGAUGAAGGUGAAUCGAGAGGUUUGCUGGACGUAUCACAAGUGCGAAUGCUGACAUAAGUAACGAUAAAACGAGUGAAAAACUCGUUCGCCGGAAGACCAAGGGUUCCUGUCCAACGUUAAUCGGGGCAGGGUGAGUCGGCCCCUAAGGCGAGGCUGAAAAGCGUAGUCGAUGGGAAACGGGUUAAUAUUCCCGUACUUGGUAAAGCUGCGAUGUGGGGACGGAGAAGGUUAGGUUAGCAGACUGUUGGAUGUCUGUUUAAGUUGGUAGGUGGGAAGUUUAGGCAAAUCCGGACUUCCAUAACACUGAGAGAUGAUGACGAGUUUCUACGGAAAUGAAGUAACUGAUACCACGCUUCCAGGAAAAGCCACUAAGCGAAAGGCUUUACUAAACCGUACUGAAAACCGACACAGGUGGUCAGGUAGAGAAUACUCAGGCGCUUGAGAGAACUCGGGUGAAGGAACUAGGCAAAAUAGCACCGUAACUUCGGGAGAAGGUGCGCUGGCGUAGGUUGUAGGAGUAUACCUCCGAAGGCUGAACCAGUCGAAGAUACCAGCUGGCUGCAACUGUUUAUUAAAAACACAGCACUCUGCAAACACGAAAGUGGACGUAUAGGGUGUGAUGCCUGCCCGGUGCUGGAAGGUUAAUUGAUGGUGUUAUCGAAAGAGAAGCUCCUGAUCGAAGCCCCAGUAAACGGCGGCCGUAACUAUAACGGUCCUAAGGUAGCGAAAUUCCUUGUCGGGUAAGUUCCGACCUGCACGAAUGGCAUAAUGAUGGCCAGGCUGUCUCCACCCGAGACUCAGUGAAAUUGAAAUCGCCGUGAAGAUGCGGUGUACCCGCGGCUAGACGGAAAGACCCCGUGAACCUUUACUAUAGCUUGACACUGAACAUUGAAUUUUGAUGUGUAGGAUAGGUGGGAGACUUAGAAGCAG